rnacentral:rRNA from 1 species
GAGUUUGAUCCUGGCUCAGGAUGAACGCUGGCGGCGUGCCUAACACAUGCAAGUCGAACGGGGGUGUCCUUCGGGACAUCUUAGUGGCGGACGGGUGAGGAACACGUAGCACACCUGCCUCGAAGACGGGGAUAACGGGUCGAAAGACACGCUAAGACCCGAUAAGCUCGCGCGGGGUAGUGGCCGUGCGAGAAAAGAUUUAUCGCUUCGAGAGGGGGCUGCGGCCCAUCAGGUAGUUGGUGUGGUAACGGCGCACCAAGCCGACGACGGGUAGGGGGCCUGAGAGGGUGGCCCCCCACACUGGGACUGAGACACGGCCCAGACUCCUACGGGAGGCAGCAGUGAGGGAUAUUGGGCAAUGGGGGCAACCCUGACCCAGCGACGCCGCGUGGGUGAUGAAGGCCUUCGGGUCGUAAAGCCCUUUUUGCACUGACGAGCAAGGACGGUAGGUGCAGAAGAAGUCUCGGCUAACUACGUGCCAGCAGCCGCGGUAAAACGUAGGAGGCAAGCGUUAUCCGGAGUUACUGGGCGUAAAGCGCGCGCAGGCGGUUGGAUAAGUGGCUUGUGAAAGCCCCCGGCUCAACUGGGGGAGGACAGGUCAGACUGUUCGACUGGAGGGCGAUAGAGGCAGGUGGAAUUCCGGGUGUAGCGGUGAAAUGUGUAGAGAUCCGGAGGAACACCAGUGGCGAAGGCGGCCUGCUGGGUCGUACCUGACGCUGAGGCGCGAAAGCUUGGGGAGCCAACGGGAUUAGAGACCCCGGUAGUCCAAGCCGUAAACGAUGCUGACUAGGUGUUCACGACUGCGCAAGCAGCGGGAGUGCCGAAGCUAACGCGGUAAGUCAGCCGCCUGGGGAGUACGGUCGCAAGGCUAAAACUCAAAGGAAUUGACGGGGGCCCGCACAAGCAGCGGAGCGUGUGGUUUAAUUCGAGGCUACACGAAGAACCUUACCUGGGGUGGACAUGCAGGUGGUAGGGAACCGAAAGGGGACCGACCGCAAGGAGCCUGCACAGGUGCUGCAUGGCUGUCGUCAGCUCGUGUCGUGAGAUGUUCGGUUAAGUCCGAAAACGAGCGCAACCCUCGGGGGUAGUUACACGUGUCUACUCCGACUGCCCGGGAGAACCGGGAGGAAGGUGGGGAUGACGUCAAGUCAGCAUGGCCUUUAUCUCCAGGGCUACACACACGCUACAAUGGCCGGUACAAUGGGUCGCGAGACGGUGACGUGGAGCCAAUCCAGAAAGCCGGUCGUAGUUCGGAUUGCAGGCUGCAACUCGCCUGCAUGAAGGUGGAGUUGCUAGUAACCGCGGGUCAGCCAUACCGCGGUGAAUACGUUCCCGGGCCUUGUACACACCGCCCGUCACGUCAUGGGAGCUGGUCACGCCUGAAGCCGAUGGGCUAACCGCAAGGGGGCAGUCGUCGAAGGCAGGGCUGGUGACUGGGACGAAGUCGUAACAAGGUAGCC